rnacentral:lncRNA from 1 species
UCUGUUUAUAUAUGGUCAAAUGAUAGGAAGGGCAGUAUCAGCCCUAGACAGGAUUCUGUUAAGGACUUGAGACCUGAGUAUCAGCCCCUGAGUGCUGAUGAUCUAGACCUCUGUGCUUCUCCUCUCCUGGCCAGGCUGGUUCUCCUCUCCUUCUCCUCUCCUGGCCAGGCUGGUUCUCCUCUCCUUCUCCUCUCCUGGCCAGGCUGGUUCUCCUCUCCUUCUCCUCUCCUGGCCAGGCUGGUUCUCCUCUCCUUCUCCUCUCCUGGCCAGGCUGGUUCUCCUCUCAUUCUCCUCUCCUGGCCAGGCUGGUUCUCCUCUCCUUCUCCUCUCCUGGCCAGGCUGGUUCUCCUCUCCUUCUCCUCUCCUGGCCAGGCUGGUUCUCCUCUCCUUCUCCUCUCCUGGCCAGGCUGGUUCUCCUCUCCUUCUCCUCUCCUGGCCAGGCUGGUUCUCCUCUCCUUCUCCUCUCCUGGCCAGGCUGGUUCUCCUCUCCUUCUCCUCUCCUGGCCAGGCUGGUUCUCCUCUCCUUCUCCUCUCCUGGCCAGGCUGGUUCUCCUCUCCUUCUCCUCUCCUGGCCAGGCUGGUUCUCCUCUCCUUCUCCUCUCCUGGCCAGGCUGGUUCUCCUCUCCUUCUCCUCUCCUGGCCAGGCUGGUUCUCCUCUCCUUCUCCUCUCCUGGCCAGGCUGGAUCUCCUCUCCUUCUCCUCUCCUGGCCAGGCUGGUUCUCCUCUCCUUCUCCUCUCCUGGCCAGGCUGGUUCUCCUCUCCUUCUCCUCUCCUGGCCAGGCUGGUUCUCCUCUCCUUCUCCUCUCCUGGCCAGGCUGGUUCUCCUCUCAUUCUCCUCUCCUGGCCAGGCUGGUUCUCCUCUCCUUCUCCUCUCCUGGCCAGGCUGGUUCUCCUCUCCUUCUCCUCUCCUGGCCAGGCUGGUUCUCCUCUCCUUCUCCUCUCCUGGCCAGGCUGGUUCUCCUCUCCUUCUCCUCUCCUGGCCAGGCUGGAUCUCCUCUCCUUCUCCUCUCCUGGCCAGGCUGGUUCUCCUCUCCUUCUCCUCUCCUGGCCAGGCUGGUUCUCCUCUCCUUCUCCUCUCCUGGCCAGGCUGGUAGGGACCAGGGCUCUAGCUGA